GGUGAUAAAAUUUCAUUUACAAUGAAAGAAACCUACAUGGCACCUGUAUGUUUACAAAGUUAGUUAAAA
rnacentral:tRNA from 1 species